rnacentral:lncRNA from 1 species
GGGAGGGUGGGUGGCACGAGGAGACACACAGAGCACGAUACCACCUCUAGACAGACGUGAAGAGGGAAACCGCCUUCCAGACGGCCCAGCCAACCAGCCCUGUGGCCACCAUCCCAGUGCUGCGGUGAGUGACUCAAGCUACUUGCCUCGAGGGGCGAUCCACUGAAGGCAAGAGGGAUUCCCCUGGAAACUUUGAUUCUGCUGAGAGAGAAAGACUGAAACCAAAAGCAGACCCAGCUGAAGAUCCCACUGAAGAACUAAGAUGGUAGAGGUGAUCUUUAGCUUCCCCUACAUUAGCUAGUUAACGCAGCAUUCUUACAGCUUUCUCGUCAAAUCUCUUAUCUGUUGGGAAUUAUCACACCUAUACUCAUUUAUGCAUAAGAAAAGUGAGAUCCAGAGAAGUGAGUUGCCCAAGAUCACACAAUUGCUUAUGUUUUAGGGCCAGCAGUUGAACCCACGUCAGGAACACUUCCGAUCACAGAAGAUGGAGUAAAGUAGAUACGCUAAGUUUAGAAGGUGCACCCAAAGAAUCAAACAAACUUGGUCCUGGCCCUCCUCCGGCAUUUGAAGAGAGGGACAAUGGCUCUGGAGCUACCAAGGGGCAGCUUUAUGGGAAUCAAGAGCAUGGCUCCCUGCACAUAGGAGCUCCACAUGCUUGACAGUAUUUUCUGUUGAAUGAAUCCAGCUUUGUAGGCAUUUUCAUCUAUUUUAACUUGAUGCCAACAUUUGCAUGAUUUCAAAACAUCCUUUUCAAUUCUUUCUGUGGGGACACUGGCACCUGGAAAAAAAGACUGAUAAGGACAGGUGUGAAAACAGAAGCUACAACAUAUUUAGCUUCUCCCAGGCACAGAUGCUAUCCUCAUCCACUGUCUCACUGGAACAUGUCUAGGGUAAUAUUAGGGCCCACAGACCCUACUCUUUCUAAUCCCUACUAGUUUCAUGGACUCACUGGGCCUUUUCUCUUAACAUAUUUUUUCCCCAAUGGCUUAACAGGCUUGACCCAAACUGCAGUUAUAAUGUAACUCAUUUUUCCAGUUUUAAUUACUUAGAGCUUCUACUCAGCAUGUGCUAGCUUAUGCAUCCAUCAGAAAUGGUUAGAAUUAUAGUCCAUGCUCAAGGGAGACUGAGGAUUUGUUGGGCCAAGGUAAAGAUUUAAUUAGGCUUUCAGACUUACUAUAGAUCCCUAUUCCCUAGGGCUCAGGAAACAACAAUCUAGGAAUACCUAUUAAAGAGAAUACCUUAAAGAGAAAGGAACACAAAAUGUAGUAUAGACACGUAAUAUUAUUGUUCAGUCUUUAGAAAGGAAAUUCUAACAUAUACUGCAGCUUGGAUCAAUCUUGAGGACAUUAUGCUAAGUGAAACAAGCCAGUCACAAAAAGACAAAUACUACGUGAUCCCACUUAUAUGAGGUCCAUAUGGACUGGGGCAGGGAGAAGGAGUUAUUGUUUAAUUCAUGGAGUUUUAGUUUGGUGAUGGUUGCACACUAUGAAUGUACUUAAUAUCACUGAAUUAUAUACUUAAAACUGGUUCAGAUGGUAAAUUCUGUGAUGUGUAUUUUACAAUUAAACAAACAAACAAAAAAGGAACAGAUUGGACACGAUUCUCAGCUAUGUAUGAGCAUUGUACCAUCAGAGCCCAAAGCAGCUACAUAAUAAUGUUGUAUAUCUUUAUGCCCAACCCCCAAUUUUCCUUCUCUUCCUUCUGCUGAAUGAAGCAUCUCCCUGUUCUGCCACCGAAACUAGCAUCUUAUAAAUCACUAGCUCAGAAAAUUCAGUGACUUUCAGCUAGUAGUCCACUAGAGACCAUGGCUAGGCAGAUGGGUGCAGCAAAGAGAAUGCACCCCUCACAACCAAACAGCUCCCCCAUGUGGCUGCAGCAUCUCCCCCAGAGGAAAAGGCCCCUCUGGACAGAGGGACAGAUUUCUUUUCCAAAUUAAAGGCAUAAUUUUUAGCUAUAAUUGGUACCAUCAAACUCGGUAUCAGGGAAAAAAUCCAUUAUGGGUACUAUCAUCUUUAAUUUCUUCCAAAUGAAAUUGAGACAUUUUUCCCUGCAUUUCAAAAAUGAAGACACCUGUUUCAUGUAAUAAGCAACUCACAGGAUCCAAGAAAACCAGUUUCCCAUCAAUUUUUUCCCAAUAAAAUACCAUUUGUUAGAAUUUACAAGAGCUCACUUACCAAUAUAUUUCCCUAGGAAAUCUUUUUUAAAGAUACAUAUUCUCAUCAUUUAAAUUUGACACUUUGAAUCUAAAAGUACUUUACAGCUAGCAUUUUAAAGAACACUUAAGAAACUGCUUAACUGUUCAGACUUUUUCUCAAAAAUAGGCUUAGUGUAUGAAAAAGAUGUUUUUAAAAUUAUCUGUUUUUUCUUAACCGUUAAUAAUAUACCUCUUUAUCAUUUUGUGACUCUGUUGGACAACUAGGACACUUCCCAGGGAAUGCCCUCUCUUGUCAGAAAUUCUGGCUUGGAGUUGUGGCUGGAGUAAGCUACCUUUGAGCAAUUCUCAGUAUUUCCUAGGGCGUACCAGAAACUGACUAUUUAUACCCAGUAUGGCAACAUAAGCUAAGUGAAACUUAAGUUUUAUUUCUGGUUAGAAUUAUAUCGACUCAGUGUAGAAAUGCUAGUAUCUCACUCUGAUUAGAUAAGUCUUACCAAAUUUUGAGAUAAUCCAAUUUAUCAAAUGGAUUAUCUCAAAAUGGGUUUAACAGUAAGAGGUAGAUGAAUGGAAAUCCCUGGUCUACACUCAUAAAAUUAAGAACUGAGAAAGAAGAGGCAAAAUAUAAUCUAUGGCCCUAUUAAAGACAAAGAACAGACUGCGCCAACAUUUCAUCCGAGAUUUCUGGUUUCUUGUUUGAUUGUUCUCCUAAGUACUAGCUUCCUUUGGACACAGAUCUGUCUGACGGAGUCAGAGACACACUCCUUGAUAACCACAGAAUACCCAAAAGGACAAUCGCCAGGACAGAAAUACCUAGAAGAAAACAAGCCAAGGGCAAUUACAGAAUCUUGGACUUGAAUAACCACAUGGUCAUGUGAGGAACUGUCAAUCCAACAAAAAACUCAAUAUUCACCAGACAUAUUUGCUACAUAUUUACUUACAAAUCUAAAGGCAGAAAGACUAAGGGCCCUAGCAGUGAGGCAUCAACGAUCAGACUCAGUAUAAGUGAAUUAAAAAGUUUAUUAGCCAUAGAAAAAAACUGAUUCCUCAAAAUCAAUU